UACGUAGGGAGCGAGCGUUGUCCGGAUUUAUUGGGUGUAAAGGGUGCGUAGGCGGCUAUGCAAGUCAGGCGUGUAAUGCAGAGGCUUAGCCUCUGAACUGCGCUUGAAACUGUUUAGCUUGAGUGGAGUAGAGGCAGAUGGAAUUUCCAGUGUAGCGGUGAAAUGCGUAGAUAUUGGAAGGAACACCAGAGGCGAAGGCGAUCUGCUGGGCUCUAAUUGACGCUGAGGCACGAAAGCAUGGGGGGCAAAC
rnacentral:rRNA from 1 species